GUUUGGUUUGCAUUGAUCCUUAGCAGUUUGUGUCAAAUGCAGGUGCUCUGCCUCUCCAUGGGCUCGUUCACCAUUCGUUCAACUUCAAAGCUCAUCAGCGCACCUGCUUCGACGCUGACCCGUCCGUCGUCAUCGCCUUCGAUGACGACGAGGACACCGCAGGCGCCGUCGGCCUCGGCGGCGGCUUCCACCACUACCACAUCGUCGUCACCUACCAGGGCGUCAAGGGGUGAAUUGAUUUGAUCGUUAAUAUGUGGCUGGAUGUGAUGUUUUGCAGGUUGAGGGCGCUAAGGUGUUGGAGACGUGCCUGUAAUUGUUGAGCGUUUUAUCUGUAGAGUGCUAUAUUGUGAUUGGUGUAAUAUUGUGUGGUUAUAUUGUGAUUGGUGGAAUGCAAUAAACUUGAUUGGUACAUCGGUGAUUUGGCUGUUAUUUGAAUAUAUUUAAAAUGUGUUCUCUGAUUGGUAUAUCAUUGAGUUACAAGUUGUGAAAAAUUAAAA